UGUUAAAAAUUCAAUUCACUUCUACUAUUAAAAACUGGCAUGACUGACAGAACAGUUUUAUGUGGCGUGCCACAUUACCUCAUUCCAACAUAUAGAGAGCAGUUUUUAACAGUAGAAAUGAAUGUAAUUUUUAACA
rfam:Gossypium raimondii Chr06_contig_46, whole genome shotgun sequence.